rnacentral:rRNA from 1 species
GUGCUUAACACAUGCAAGUCGAACGAUGAACCACUUCGGUGGGGAUUAGUGGCGAACGGGUGAGUAACACGUGGGCAAUCUGCCCUGCACUCUGGGACAAGCCCUGGAAACGGGGUCUAAUACCGGAUAUGACCCUCGCAGGCAUCUGUGAGGGUGUAAAGCUCCGGCGGUGCAGGAUGAGCCCGCGGCCUAUCAGCUUGUUGGUGAGGUAACGGCUCACCAAGGCGACGACGGGUAGCCGGCCUGAGAGGGCGACCGGCCACACUGGGACUGAGACACGGCCCAGACUCCUACGGGAGGCAGCAGUGGGGAAUAUUGCACAAUGGGCGAAAGCCUGAUGCAGCGACGCCGCGUGAGGGAUGACGGCCUUCGGGUUGUAAACCUCUUUCAGCAGGGAAGAAGCGAAAGUGACGGUACCUGCAGAAGAAGCGCCGGCUAACUACGUGCCAGCAGCCGCGGUAAUACGUAGGGCGCAAGCGUUGUCCGGAAUUAUUGGGCGUAAAGAGCUCGUAGGCGGCUUGUCGCGUCGGUUGUGAAAGCCCGGGGCUUAACCCCGGGUCUGCAGUCGAUACGGGCAGGCUAGAGUUCGGUAGGGGAGAUCGGAAUUCCUGGUGUAGCGGUGAAAUGCGCAGAUAUCAGGAGGAACACCGGUGGCGAAGGCGGAUCUCUGGGCCGAUACUGACGCUGAGGAGCGAAAGCGUGGGGAGCGAACAGGAUUAGAUACCCUGGUAGUCCACGCCGU